rnacentral:rRNA from 1 species
GGGGAAUUUUCCGCAAUGGGCGAAAGCCUGACGGAGCAAUACCGCGUGAGGGAGGAAUGCCUUUGGGUUGUAAACCUCUUUUCUCAGGGAAGAAGAUCUGACGGUACCUGAGGAAUAAGUAUCGGCUAACUCCGUGCCAGCAGCCGCGGUAAUACGGAGGAUGCAAGCGUUAUCCGGAAUCAUUGGGCGUAAAGCGUCCGCAGGUGGUUUUCAAAGUCUGCUGUUAAAGACUGGAGCUCAACACCGGAAAGGCGGUGGAAACUUGGAAACUAGAGUUCGGUAGGGGUAGCAGGAAUUCCCAGUGUAGCGGUGAAAUGCGUAGAUAUUGGGAAGAACAUCGGUGGCGAAGGCGUGCUACUGGACCGCAACUGACACUCAGGGACGAAAGCUAGGGGAGCGAAAGGGAUUAGAUACCCCUGUAGUCCUAGCUGUAAACGAUGGAAACUAGGUGUGGCUUG